rnacentral:rRNA from 1 species
CCAUGAGGGACAUAUGAAAAGGACUUUGAAAAGAGAAUUAAACGAGUUUGUAUUUGCUGAACACAAAGUAAACAGAUGUGAUUUCCUUAGUGAGAUUGUAGCACUUGCUUGACAAUAGGUUUUGGCGGUGGGUGCAAUGAUUCUUGCUUUGUAUGCCAGUUUCUAUGUGGACAUUUGAUUACCUGUGCACUUGAAUGGUAAUUUUCCUGCGGGGGGUGGAUUGCAUAUGCAUGUAAUUAUUUGCAUGUUUUAUUACUGUGUCUGGUGUAUGUGUUUGUGUUCUUGUGCUUGUGGUUGCUUUCUUCCUUGGGCUUGCAAGCCCUGGCACACACAUUCUGGCAACAUGCUUCUGCUUGACCCGUCUUGAAACACGGACCAAGGAGUCUAACAGAUGUGCAAGUUUGAGGGUGGUAUACCUGUGUGUGUAAUGAAAGUGUUGGCUGGGAUAUUUGCACCAGCAGCCGACUAAUUAGCAGACAGAGGUUUGAGUUGGAGCAUAUCUAUUAGGACCCGAAAG